rnacentral:tRNA from 1 species
GGGACGGUGGCAGAGUGGUCAAAUGCACCUGACUGUAAAUCAGGCGGCGAAAGCCUACGGGAGUUCAAAUCUCUCCCGGCCCA